AUCAGCAAUACUUUGUUUAAUUUAUAGACUAACUUGGUCUGAGGUUUCAAAGACUGUUGAAUGCUAAUCCCUAGAUGUUGCCUUUACUUUCAGUGUGAACACUCUCAUGAGGUGACCAUUGUUACCCUUGUUAGAAGUACUAAGAUUAAGUUUUAAAAGCAAUUUUUCCCAUGUACUUGCUUAUGGAUGGCACAGUUUGGACAGGUAGUAUUAUUCCUUGGUCAAAAUAUUUCAGCUAAAUAUUAAGAAUGAAUUGGAAUUAUUAGACUUAUUUUUCUUGCUAUUAAUCUUGUUGCUAGAGAUAUAACAUAAAGAUUGGGCUGGUAAAAUUAAAAUUUUAAAAUAUUGCUGCUAAAGACAAGGCCUUUGACUGACUUGAGAAGUCAGUUACUUCUUUUCUUUUUCAGUACAUCAAAUAACAAUGUGUGAUACAGGUGUUUUCUUUUGGGCAUAAGAAAAACACUAAAAAGCAAAAGUAAACAAGGAAAAACAACAGCAACAAAACACAAUGUAAAAAUGUAGAUAGACUCGAAGCAUAUUGACUCGAGGUUUAGGGUCAACUAAUACAAGUUGUUAAGCUUGUGGCUACAAAGCGUUUGAUAAUAUAUAUGAAAAGCUCUAGACAUUGUUUUUGAAACACAACCUAGCUAAUGCUGUCUCUUAUCUGUUGGAGAACAUCCAAAUUUUAUUAAGUUCCAAGCCUUUAUGCCCAAGAUUUAGAAUGAAUGGUAUUAUUCAUCGUUCCCGCUAUUUUUGGAAAGAUGGAAGUAUAAGUUUUAAUGCAAAUAUCACUGUGACAUCCUACUGACAUGUUUGGUUUAUGCAUCAUUUUUAGGCACUUAGGGAGGAGCUCACAGGUUGAUAACUUUGUAAUGAGAGACAUGGGAAGUGUACCUGUAUUCUUAUAGUAUCCUAACACCAAUACUUAACGUAUUUAGGUUGUCAGAGUCAGAUGGCUCAAGAAAUGUUUGCAUUUUGAGACUUUAAAGCAGUAUAGAAGGUAUAUUUUUUUUCUCUCAUUGGACUUUUAAGGGAAAUUUGAUUCUUCAUUUUAUAUAAAAUUGUAUAAAAUUCUUGUUGAUAAAAAUAUAAGUUUUGUAAAUACUUUAUAAUAUUAAGCUUUUAUUUGAAAAUGUAAAGUACAAAAUAAAGUGGACUUCAGCAAUCC
rnacentral:lncRNA from 1 species